rnacentral:rRNA from 1 species
CAGCAGCCACGGGAAUACGGAGGGUGCAAGCGUUAAUCGGAAUUACUGGGCGUAAAGCGCACGCAGGCGGUUUGUUAAGUCAGAUGUGAAAUCCCCGAGCUUAACUUGGGAACUGCAUUUGAAACUGGCAAGCUAGAGUCUUGUAGAGGGGGGUAGAAUUCCAGGUGUAGCGGUGAAAUGCGUAGAGAUCUGGAGGAAUACCGGUGACGAAGGCGGCCCCCUGGACAAAGACUGACGCUCAGGUGCGAAAGCGUGGGGAGCAAACAGGAUUAGAUACCCGGGUAGUCCCUGUCUCUUAUAC